rnacentral:lncRNA from 1 species
CUAUUUUCCAGUGGAAUUUCCACCUGCUUCCGGAGCUCAGUGCAGAAAGCAACAUUCUUUGGCUCAGAGAUCACACACAGUGGAUACAUAGCUCCCACAAUUCCUUCGUGCUUUUUUUCCUCACUCUUUUGCUGACUUGUCACUUCUCAAUGAUGUAUGUUUCUGCCUAAGGCUUCUAAAUUGAUUAUGGAGAGAGAACAAGGGACUCUUGCUGAGAAAAAAGAAACAGAACCAUUUUGAAGUGAACAUUAACUUGGGCCCAGUCAGUUUCGUGUGAGAUCAGGUUAUUAUAGAACCAACAGUUCAGGGUGGGCUCUGACUUCAUGAAAUCAGAAACAGCCUGAAACCACUGACUUCCAUCAGCAGAGUCCAACAAAAGCCCAGAUCGAUGAAUAGAGAGGCCAUGAAGGACAGAGAGAGAGAGAGAGAGAGAGAGAGAGAGAGAGAGAGAGAGAGAGAGAGAGAGAGAGAUCAUUGAGGAUGGCCCUGUCCAAUUAUCAAUUACAAUGGUUGUUCGGAUUCAAUGAAUGCUUCUGGUACUUAAUAUUUUAAAAUAUACAGCUGGUGGCCCAGGCCUGGAAUCCCAGUACUUGGGAAACUGAAGCAGAAGGGGGAUCAAGAGUUUGAGGCCAGCUUGGGCAACAAAGUGAGAGCCUGUCUGAGAAAGAAAUACAGCAAGGAGAACUAAAGAAUACAGGGAACAAAUUCUUUGGUUGUAAUUUCAUAUGAAUUGAGUGAGACCCAUGAAGUCCAUCUACUCUGACACCAUGGCCUGUGAAAUCGCUCUUCAUACAGAAGAGGGAAUGAUGCCGUCCAGCAUUCACUUUUGUGUGCUGGGAGAAACCGAGGAAACCAGAGCGAGAUAGAACACUGCGCCCUGUGUUGUGCCUCAGGAUGUUGUAUCAGAACUCUUUCUGAUGAUGGAUUUCUUUUUUUUCUGAGUGAAUCAGAGAAUUGACUAGAGUCUACAUUAUAUUUAAAAAAUUAAGCUUUAUGUGAACAGGCAAGGGCAUGUGGAUAGGUGUGGAAUUAUUCAUGAAGCUACAAGGCUAAAGAAACACUGCCUUCUCCCUUUCUGGAAGGACUGAUAUGAUGGCCCAUUCCCACAGUCCAGGUGGUUUCUUGCUUGCAGUUGCCCUUUCACAGCCACAAAUAUGAGAAGUGAUUACUUGACAAAACAUUUUUAUGCUAUUUUUAAAAUGAGAAAAUUGACUUAUGUGAAUAUUCGAUCCAAACUUUGAUUUUGAGACAACAAAAUGUGUAUCGUUCUAAAUGUCCCAGACACUCCUAGUAUUGACUUCUACCAAUAAAUGGCACUAAAACG